rnacentral:misc_RNA from 1 species
CAAUGUCCCUUUCCUGUGCAGCGCCCUUCAAGGAAUAUCAUGCGUGGUGUCCGCCUGCUAGUCGCACUGUGCGUGCUAGCGGGGUUUGGCUGUCUUGUUAUGACCCACCUAGGAUACGUCGACAUGAGAGUCAACUGGGCUGAACUCCGCGACAGACCAUGGUACAACGUCAAGGAUUCUGCCACCUUCAGUGAUGUGACACUUCGAAGGCCUCCGCUGAGUACUCAUCCUGGCCAGAUAGCGUGAAGAAGAGGGUCAGCUGUGACGUGAUGCCGUUGUGGUUCCCCGAGGGAGACGAGACCGAUUGGUGGGCAAUGUUCGCGCCCUGCGCAUCACAGAGGCUUUUUUUUCCGCACUGAAUUCUGGGUUGCUGAUGAUGAACCUUACGCGUAUGCGUGCCUUCCACCUGGAGAACCGCUUGAUGCGGCUGCACGAGGAGUUCAAGGGCCGCAUUCCAUUUACGGACCAGG